UUCCAUCAACCAGAGCAUCGGGGGUGUGAUACUUUUCCACGAGACCCUCUACCAGAAGGACAGCCAGAAUGGACUGGUACCUAUUGUUGAACCAGAGGUAAUUCCUGAUGGAGACCAUGACCUGGAACACUGCCAGUAUGUUACUGAGAAGGUCCUGGCUGCUGUCUACAAGGCCCUGAAUGACCAUCAUGUUUACCUGGAGGGCACCCUGCUAAAGC
rnacentral:sRNA from 1 species